rnacentral:rRNA from 1 species
AUUGAACGCUGGCGGCAGGCUUAACACAUGCAAGUCGAGCGGGGUGAUGGUGCUUGCACUAUCACUUAGCGGCGGACGGGUGAGUAAUGCUUAGGAAUCUGCCUAUUAGUGGGGGACAACAUCUCGAAAGGGAUGCUAAUACCGCAUACGUCCUACGGGAGAAAGCAGUGGAUCACUUGUGACCUUGCGCUAAUAGAUGAGCCUAAGUCGGAUUAGCUAGUUGGUGGGGUAAAGGCCUACCAAGGCGACGAUCUGUAGCGGGUCUGAGAGGAUGAUCCGCCACAUGGGGACUGAGAAGCGGCCCAGACUCCUACGGGAGGCAGCAGUGGGGAAUAUUGGACAAUGGGGGGAACCCUGAUCCAGCCAUGCCGCGUGUGUGAAGAAGGCCUUAUGGUUGUAAAGCACUUUAAGCGAGGAGGAGGCUCUUUUGGUUAAUACCCAAGAUGAGUGGACGUUACUCGCAGAAUAAGCACCGGCUAACUCUGUGCCAGCCGCCGCCGUAA